rnacentral:rRNA from 1 species
AGUAGUUGUAUCACUGGCUCAGGAUGAACGCUGGCGGCGUGCCUAAUACAUGCAAGUCGAACGAGGGUGCUUGCACCCUAGUGGCGAACGGGUGAGUAACACGUAGGUAACCUGCCUUUAAGCUUGGGAUACCCAGAGGAAACUUUGGCUAAUACCGGAUAACAACAGAUGAGGCAUCUCGAACUGUUUGAAAGGCCCCUUCAAGGGUCACUUAAAGAUGGACCUGCGGCGCAUUAGCUAGUUGGUGAGAUAACAGCCCACCAAGGCGAGGAUGCGUAGCCGAACUGAGAGGUUGAUCGGCCACCAUGGAAACUGAGACACGGUUCCAACUCCUACGGGAGGCAGCAGUAAGGAGUUUUCGGCAAUGGGGGAAACCCUGACCGAGCAACGCCGCGUGAGUGAUGACGGCCCCCUAUGGGUUGUAAAGCUCUUUUAUUAGAGACGAAUGACUAGAUUAGGAAAUGAAUCUAGUUUGACGGUAUCUUCUGAAUAAGCCACGGCUAACUACGUGCCAGCAGCAGC